rnacentral:snoRNA from 1 species
ACCCAAAAACUAUUAAAGCCUUUCUAUCUUUGCUACCGAAAAAAAUUAUCUCAAACUUUGUUUGUGAAUUUAUUUUUUUUCAAUUAUAAGGAAUAAUUAUAGUAGUUGCGACUACGCCAAUUAUUUCACAUCCCAACAGUAUUUAGAAAACAUGUUUUUGGAAGAUAAAAGACCUUUUUCCACCCUAAUAUGUACUUUAUUUUUAUUUUUUGCAUUCGUUUUCUCUUUCUUUUAAGAGAGAAAAAAAUGGGUCAAGAAUAUUGAUUUGUUCAUUACAAUAUUGGGACUAAAAUAUUAAGGACGACAGCA